GCCUGGGUGGCUCAGUGGUUGAGUGUCUGCCUUUGGCUCAGGUCAUGAUCCCAGGGUCAUGGGAUCGAGUCCCGUAUCGGGCU
rnacentral:tRNA from 1 species